CGCAUUUUCGUCGUGAUUUGGAAGCGUCCAGCGUCGUCUCUCACACGCCACGCAGCUUGGCCAGAAAUUGUUUGACUGGGCGAUACCGAAGCAAUCGCUCACCUCAAAUUGAGUACUGGGCCCAGUCGACCGUCAUAGGCGCAUCGUCUUUAUUUGCAGGACAGCACUUAGUGUCAUGGUUUGGAAACAUCCGUUGGCGUCUCUCACUCGCCACGAAGCUUGCCAGUAAUUGCAUGUCAGUUGGCUUGGCGGUCACAGUAACGCAUUCAAUCGGCUCAAUAGUAAUGGAUGGCCUGGAAGCAGGCCGGUAGCGAUUCAGAUUGCUAGAUGGAGCCCAACAGGAGCUGCUGAGCUGUUGCCCACUUUGUUUGAGAGGGCGGUGCCGGAGCUGUCGCUCACUCCAGGUUGAGUAUUUAGCCAGCAGGCCGUCGUGGAGCAUGUCAUCUUCUUGGACAGCGCAUCAUCUUCGUGAUUUGGAAAUAUCUGGUGGCGUCUCUCACACGCCACGCAGCUUGACCAGGAAUUGUUUGUAUGAGCGAUACCGAAGCAGUCGCUCACUUCAAAUGAGUAUUUGGCCCAAUUUACCGUCGUGGGUGCAUCGUCUUCUUGGGCAGCAGUUCUGCGUCUUGCUUUAGAAACAUUCAUUGUCGUCUCUCACACUCCACAAUCCGUCCAGUAGUUGCAUGUCAGCAGACCCGGGUGGCCCGCAAACAGGCCGGUUGCAGUUCAGGAUGCUAGAUGGAGCCCACAAGGAGCUGCUGGGCUGUUGAAUACCUUGUUCGAGUGGGCGAUGCCGAGGCCGUCGCUCACUCCAAAUUGAGUUCCCAAACCUUGCUUGCAGGACAGCGCAUCAUCGUCGCGGUUUGGAAACAUCCAGUGGCGUCUCUCACACGCCAUGCAGUUUGGCCAGGAAUUGUUUGAAUGGGCGAUACCGAAGCAGUCGCCCACUCUAAAUUGGGCAUUCGACCAGCAGGCCGUCGUGGAGCAUGUCAUCUUUUGGACAGCGCAUUUUCGUCGUGAUUUGGAAGCGUCCAGCGUCGUCUCUCACACGCCACGCAGCUUGGCCAGAAAUUGUUUGACUGGGCGAUACCGAAGCAAUCGCUCACCUCAAAUUGAGUACUGGGCCCAGUCGACCGUCAUAGGCGCAUCGUCUUUAUUUGCAGGACAGCACUUAGUGUCAUGGUUUGGAAACAUCCGUUGGCGUCUCUCACUCGCCACGAAGCUUGCCAGUAAUUGCAUGUCAGUUGGCUUGGCGGUCACAGUAACGCAUUCAAUCGGCUCAAUAGUAAUGGAUGGCCUGGAAGCAGGCCGGUAGCGAUUCAGAUUGCUAGAUGGAGCCCAACAGGAGCUGCUGAGCUGUUGCCCACUUUGUUUGAGAGGGCGGUGCCGGAGCUGUCGCUCACUCCAGGUUGAGUAUUUAGCCAGCAGGCCGUCGUGGAGCAUGUCAUCUUCUUGGACAGCGCAUCAUCUUCGUGAUUUGGAAAUAUCUGGUGGCGUCUCUCACACGCCACGCAGCUUGACCAGGAAUUGUUUGUAUGAGCGAUACCGAAGCAGUCGCUCACUUCAAAUGAGUAUUUGGCCCAAUUUACCGUCGUGGGUGCAUCGUCUUCUUGGGCAGCAGUUCUGCGUCUUGCUUUAGAAACAUUCAUUGUCGUCUCUCACACUCCACAAUCCGUCCAGUAGUUGCAUGUCAGCAGACCCGGGUGGCCCGCAAACAGGCCGGUUGCAGUUCAGGAUGCUAGAUGGAGCCCACAAGGAGCUGCUGGGCUGUUGAAUACCUUGUUCGAGUGGGCGAUGCCGAGGCCGUCGCUCACUCCAAAUUGAGUUCCCAAACCUUGCUUGCAGGACAGCGCAUCAUCGUCGCGGUUUGGAAACAUCCAGUGGCGUCUCUCACACGCCAUGCAGUUUGGCCAGGAAUUGUUUGAAUGGGCGAUACCGAAGCAGUCGCCCACUCUAAAUUGGGCAUUCGACCAGCAGGCCGUCGUGGAGCAUGUCAUCUUUUGGACAGCGCAUUUUCGUCGUGAUUUGGAAGCGUCCAGCGUCGUCUCUCACACGCCACGCAGCUUGGCCAGAAAUUGUUUGACUGGGCGAUACCGAAUGCCAG